rnacentral:rRNA from 1 species
AGCGUUGUUCGGAAUGACUGGGCGUAAAGGGCGCGUAGGCGGUUCGUUGCGUCAGAUGUGAAAGCCCCGGGCUCAACCUGGGAACUGCAUUUGAUACGGGCGAGCUUGAAUCCAAGAGAGGGUGGUGGAAUUCCCAGUGUAGAGGUGAAAUUCGUAGAUAUUGGGAAGAACACCAGUGGCGAAGGCGGCCACCUGGCUUGGUAUUGACGCUGAGGCGCGAAAGCGUGGGGAGCAAACAGG